UUCUGUAAGCCUGUGAAGGUGUGCUGUGAGGCAUGCUGGAGGUAUCAGAAGUGCGAAUGCUGACAUAAGUAACGAUAAAGCGGGUGAAAAGCCCGCUCGCCGGAAGACCAAGGGUUCCUGUCCAACGUUAAUCGGGGCAGGGUGAGUCGACCCCUAAGGCGAGGCCGAAAGGCGUAGUCGAUGGGAAACAGGUUAAUAUUCCUGUACCAGGUGUUACUGCGAAGGGGGGACGGAGAAGGCUAUGUUGGCCGGGCGACGGUUGUCCCGGUUUAAGCGUGUAGGUGUGUGUUCCAGGUAAAUCCGGUUCACUUUAACACUGAGGCGUGAUGACGAGGCACUACGGUGCUGAAGCAACAAAUGCCCUGCUUCCAGGAAAAGCCUCUAAGCAUCAGGUAACAUCAGAUCGUACCCCAAACCGACACAGGUGGUCAGGUAGAGAAUACCAAGGCGCUUGAGAGAACUCGGGUGAAGGAACUAGGCAAAAUGGUGCCGUAAC
rnacentral:rRNA from 1 species